rnacentral:rRNA from 1 species
UACGGAGGGGGCUAGCGUUGUUCGGAAUUACUGGGCGUAAAGCGCACGUAGGCGGCUUUGUAAGUUAGAGGUGAAAGCCCGGGGCUCAACUCCGGAAUUGCCUUUAAGACUGCAUCGCUAGAAUUGUGGAGAGGUAAGUGGAAUUCCGAGUGUAGAGGUGAAAUUCGUAGAUAUUGGGAAGAACACCGAUGGCGAAGGCAGCCCCCUGGGAUAACACUGACGCUCAUGCACGAAAGGCGUGGGGAGCAAACAGG